rnacentral:lncRNA from 1 species
UGACGUAUGUGAAUAUUCCUGUUAGUCCCACAUCCAAGAAGCAGCUGAACUACAUGGAGCUGGAGUUGCAGGAGCCAGGUCCGGGCCCCCGAGGGACUGUCACACACCCCCCUCCUCAGAGAAAGAGCUCCACCAAGUACGCCCAGAUCGACAUCACUGCCACAGAGACGGCCCACAAAGUCGGCACCCAGCAUGCCCUGGGUCGGCAGGAGGGCCUGCACACUCUGGAGCUGAGAAGAAAGGGGACGCUACACUGAUUUCUUCAUCUGUACACUACAUAAAACUCUGAAGUUAGAAGGAAACGUCUCUCUGAAGGAGUUUUCAGUCACUUCAUCCAGUCUACACAUAAACAAAUCCCAGAAAAUGUUGUCUACCCCAAUGUCCAUUUCAGACUUGCUUCUGUAAUCACAAAGCCACUUGAAAAUGGAGCCUCCUCAGAAAGGUUUUGCACAGGAUCAGGAGCAACAUUUCAGACUUGGUCAUCUCAUUAAAUGGCAUUAUGUCAGUGCCGGAGCCUCAGGCUAACUUGGAGGAAGAUAUGCCAGUCCUGAGCUGAGUCACUGGCCCCGAUAAACCCCCAGAGCAGAGGCAUUUUACAGCCCACUCAGACCAUCCCUAAUAAUAAAUGCUGUUUUUGUCCUUGUUUGGGAGAACGAGGCAGGAGAGGAAGCAGACAUGUUUAUUCUCACAAGGAGUUCACACAUUUAUUUCUCAGCAAAAACCACAUCAGUAAUUCCACAUGUAGUUGCACAAAACUCACUUUUUAGCAUAUUCAUAUUUGGGGAACUUCCUAUCCAGUCUUACUCAGAAUGCUGCAAAUUUCAGGCUCAAUGUUUAAAAUAAAUUGUAGAAAUAAGAACAGUAUAAUCAGUGCUUCUGCAUAAUACUUCCACAUUGUGCAUGGUGACUUUUUUGCCUGGGUGUAACUAAUGGAUUGGUGUUUAUCAUGUGAACAGAAUCUCAAUGCUGCUAUUGUUUUAUUGCUUUACGGUUCAUAUAAAAUAGGAUUUACUCUGAAAAGUCCUCAUAAAUAAUGCAACAAUCACUCUGCAACAACAAAUGUAUCCCAGAACUGACUGCCUGGCACUCAUUGCCAUCGUUUGUCGAAGUUUUCUUUUUUUACUCACUAAAGUGGUUAAAAUACUUUUAUUAUUGUGUGUACACAUAAGCAUUUUUAUUAAAACUGCAAUUUUGGAAAAAAGUAUUUAGUAUGCCUUUUGUAGAGCUAUUUAAGGAGCCC